rnacentral:rRNA from 1 species
AUUGAACGCUGGCGGCAUGCCUUACACAUGCAAGUCGAACGGCAGCACUGGUGCUUGCACCUGGUGGCGAGUGGCGAACGGGUGAGUAAUACAUCGGAACAUGUCCUGUAGUGGGGGAUAGCCCGGCGAAAGCCGGAUUAAUACCGCAUACGAUCUACGGAUGAAAGCGGGGGACCUUCGGGCCUCGCGCUAUAGGGUUGGCCGAUGGCUGAUUAGCUAGUUGGUGGGGUAAAGGCCUACCAAGGCGACGAUCAGUAGCUGGUCUGAGAGGACGACCAGCCACACUGGGACUGAGACACGGCCCAGACUCCUACGGGAGGCAGCAGUGGGGAAUUUUGGACAAUGGGCGAAAGCCUGAUCCAGCAAUGCCGCGUGUGUGAAGAAGGCCUUCGGGUUGUAAAGCACUUUUGUCCGGAAAGAAAUCCUUGGCCCUAAUACGGUCGGGGGAUGACGGUACCGGAAGAAUAAGCACCGGCUAACUACGUG